rnacentral:rRNA from 1 species
GACGAACGCUGGCGGCGUGCUUAACACAUGCAAGUCGAACGGAAAGGCCCUGCUUUUGUGGGGUGCUCGAGUGGCGAAAGGGUGAGUAACACGUGAGUAACCUGCCCUUGACUUUGGGAUAACUUCAGGAAACUGGGGCUAAUACCGGAUAGGAGCUCCUGCUGCAUGGUGGGGGUUGGAAAGUUUCGGCGGUUGGGGAUGGACUCGCGGCUUAUCAGCUUGUUGGUGGGGUAGUGGCUUACCAAGGCUUUGACGGGUAGCCGGCCUGAGAGGGUGACCGGCCACAUUGGGACUGAGAUACGGCCCAGACUCCUACGGGAGGCAGCAGUGGAGGAUAUUGCACGAUGGGCGGAAGCCUGAUGCAGCAACGCCGCGUGCGGGAUGACGGCCUUCGGGUUGUAAACCGCUUUCGCCUGUGACGAAGCGUGAGUGACGGUAAUGGGUAAAGAAGCACCGGCUAACUACGUG